UUCUAUUGCUUCUACUAUUGAUGUAACAGCAGAUAUAAGUGAGAAUGAGAAUCUUAAUGCCGUCUUUGUAGAAGAUAAUAUCAUCUUCCAAAAUAUCAUCCUCGAACUUAAAGAGACUUACAAAAAAAGCACAGUGAAUUUAAAAAUGAGAUUACCAAACACCUCAACGAAUUCUCUACACGAAAAAAUAUAUCACUGCAAAACCAAAGUGGUUCCGGUUGCAAAUCCAGACAAUCUAAAUUAAAUUUUAACAAUCUAAACAUUCCAGCUGUAUCGCAAAAAACAGCAGACGAGGUUAUCAUGGAUUUUAUUAUUGACACCUUCCAACCACUGUCUCUGGUUGAUGAUCCUUCAUUUGAAAAAAUGAUUUAAACUUGUCGCGAAACACUCUACAACAGGAUAUCUACUUCCUUCUCUUAUAUGACAACAAAUCUUAUAAGAGAUUUGUCUGAAGUUUCUUAUGUAUGCACCACUGGUGAUUGUUGGAGUGGUCAUCGAAGGGCUUUUAUUGGACUUACUACACAUUGGCUGGAUCCAUUAACCCUCAAGAGAAGGUCAGCCGCUUUGGCACUGAGGAGGAUAAUUGUGAGGCAAACAGAUGUUUUGGCCAACGAAAUCAUGGGUAUCCACAGUUCUAUAAAAUUUAUAAUAAGGCGGUGAAGAUGGUGACUGACAAUGGAACCAACUUUGUCAAGGCAUUUAAUUUUUGGAGAAAAUGAAGAAUAGUAGUGAGGAUAUGGAAUUGAUAAAUUUGGAUGACAUAUUAUCCGUUGAUGACCCAAUUAUUCCUACUAUCAGCCUACCAAAACAUCAACGUUGUUGUUGCCAUAAUCUUAACCUUGCAACAACAGAUGCGGAGAUGGCAGAUAGUGAUCUUAUAAACUAAUAUCUAGAUCCACUUUUGCAAAAUGUUUUGCUUUAGUUAAUAAACAAAAUAUGUCGUAAAAAAUGGCGGAUAUUUUAUUGGAGAAAUUGGGAAGAUAUUUAAUAGCUCCCAACAAGACAAGAUGGAAUUCUUAUUACCAAUCCAUGAAAUUAAUAGUUAAGAUGCUUUCUGAAAAGUUUUCAGAAGUAGAACAAGUAUGUGAUCAAAUUGGAUUUGCAAUGUUUAGGCAAGUGGAAUGUUUUUUUGUUAAAGAGUAUGUAACAGUAAUACAAUGAUAUUCUCUUAAUAAAUUUAGGUUAUGGAACCUUUGGCGAUCUCGUUUAAAAUCUUGGAACGGGAGGAUAAUAUGGAGCUGGUAUAUCUAACUCCCGUUCUAUCGAUAUUGAUAGAUUAAUUAACGAAAUUUAGCUGCCUGCGGUAUUGUCAGCCCCUUGUAGAUAGUGUUCUUAGAGGUAUUGAUAAAAGAUUUCCUUCACUCUAUGAAGACAGUAACAUUUUGGCAGCCAUGAUUCACCCUAAAUUUAAACUUAAUUGGCCUUAUAUUAAUCUGCCACAAAAUAUGAUGGUAAAAGAAAGAUUAGUUGCCCAUUUGGGAAAUAUGCAGGAACAACCAUAUGCGGAUACCUCAAAUGAAUGUAUGGAUGACAUUGAUGCUUUUUGGGGGAAAAAUACUGUACAUAAUGCUUGUUCCGUUAAAAAAAAUUUUUUAUUCAAAUGAUGUUUCCAUGAAUAGCAUAACAUGUUCUAAAUGAAAGACGCGGAUGUUUAAAUGAUGAUAAUUUAGAAAAAAUUUUAUUAUUAAAAGCUAAUUUUAAUUAUAAAUAAAUAUAUUAUAAUUGUUAUAUUUAUUAUUCAAUUA